rnacentral:rRNA from 1 species
AUGAACGCUGGCGGCGUGCCUAAUACAUGCCAGUCGAGCGAACGGACGAGAAGCUUGCUUUUCUGAUGUUAGCGGCGGACGGGUGAGUAACACGUGGAUAACCUACCUAUAAGACUGGGAUAACUUCGGGAAACCGGAGCUAAUACCGGAUAAUAUUUUGAACCGCAUGGUUCAAAAGUGAAAGACGGUCUUGCUGUCACUUAUAGAUGGAUCCGCGCUGCAUUAGCUAGUUGGUAAGGUAACGGCUUACCAAGGCAACGAUGCAUAGCCGACCUGAGAGGGUGAUCGGCCACACUGGAACUGAGACACGGUCCAGACUCCUACGGGAGGCAGCAGUAGGGAAUCUUCCGCAAUGGGCGAAAGCCUGACGGAGCAACGCCGCGUGAGUGAUGAAGGUCUUCGGAUCGUAAAACUCUGUUAUUAGGGAAGAACAUAUGUGUAAGUAACUGUGCACAUCUUGACGGUACCUAAUCAGAAAGCCACGGCUAACUACGU